UGGCGGACGGGUGAGUAACGCGUAAAGAACUUGCCCUUUAGACUGGGAUAACAGAGGGAAACUUCUGAUAAUACUGGAUAAGUUAGUAUAUCGCAUGAUAUGCAAAUGAAAGCUACGGCACUAAAGGAGAGCUUUGCGUCCUAUUAGCUAGUUGGUAAGGUAAGAGCUUACCAAGGCGAUGAUAGGUAGCCGGCCUGAGAGGGUGGACGGCCACAAGGGGACUGAGAUACGGCCCUUACUCCUACGGGAGGCAGCAGCC
rnacentral:rRNA from 1 species